rnacentral:lncRNA from 1 species
UGUUGACUAUAUGUAAGUUGGGAUUAAAAAGAAUACCCAUGGUGUAAGCCAUAACGAGUUAGAUACGUAAGAAGAAUGAUCUUGUAGUUAAAACUUGAAAUGGGUUGAAUGGGAUAUUAAAAGCCAUGAUUUGACAUAAGUAUAAAUGUUUGGUCAUAAAUACCAAAUGGGUCAAAUGGUGGUGAUGACACUAUUUGACAAUAUCGACUAAUGUUUGGUUGUUAAGUUAAAUGUUCGCAGAAGUGAACGGGAAGUGGAUUAUUGCGUUGCUAUAAAGUAGCGGCUAAUAAAAGAAAGGUACAAAACGGGUCUAUAUGUUGACUCGAGCCAGGAGAAUGCCAAGAGUGCCCGGAUGAAGAUCAAGCUCGAUGAGGAACCGAACACAAUAAAAUCUAACACUCGGGAUUAAAGCUUCCGCACGGCGUUACGCCAUAUCUUUUAAACAACGAACUUAUCUAUAUUAUGUUGAAAACUUUUAAGUUGUAAAAGUUUUAGAUUACUUGUAUUUUCUAAGAAUACUUAAUCAAAUUUCAUGUUUAUUUUCGUUAUUUAUACGAAAACUAUAA